rnacentral:rRNA from 1 species
CGAGAUGAGUAUUCUAAGGCGCUUGAGAGAACUCAGGAGAAGGAACUCGGCAAAUUGACACCGUAACUUCGGAAGAAGGUGUGCCUUUAGUAGGUGAACCAUUUACUUGGGGAGCCGAAUGAGGCUGCAAAAAAUCGGUGGCUGCAACUGUUUAUUAAAAACAUAGCACUCUGCUAAGACGAAAGUCGACGUAUAGGGUGUGACGCCUGCCCGGUGCUGGAAGAUUAAAUGAUGGGGUGCAAGCUCUUGAUUGAAGUUCCAGUAAACGGCGGCCGUAACGAUAACGGUCCUAAGGUAGCGAAAUUCCUUGUCGGGUAAGUUCCGACCUGCACGAAUGGCGUAAUGAUGGCCACACUGACUCCUCCUGAGACUCAGCGAAGUUGAAAUGUUUGUGAUGAUGCAAUCUCCCCGCGGAAAGACGGAAAGACCCCAUGAACCUUUACUGUAGCUUUGUAUUGGACUUUGAACAGAUCUGUGUAGGAUAGGUGGGAGGCUUUGAAGCCAGGACGCUAGUUCUGGUGGAGCCAACGUUGAAAUACCACCCUGGUGUGUUUGAGGUUCUAACCUAGGUCCAUUAUCUGGAUCGGGGACAGUGCAUGGUAGGCAGUUUAACUGGGGCGGUCUCCUCCCAAAGUGUAACGGAGGAGUUCGAAGGUACGCUAGUUACGGUCGACAUCGUGACGAUAGUGCAAUGGCAUAAGCGUGCUUAACUGCGAGACUGACAAGUCGAGCAGAUGCGAAAGCAGGACAUAGUGAUCCGGUGGUUCUGUAUGGAAGGGCCAUCGCUCAACGGAUAAAAGGUACUCUGGGGAUAACAGGCUGAUACCGCCCAAGAGUUCAUAUCGACGGCGGUGUUUGGCACCUCGAUGUCGGCUCAUCUCAUCCUGGGGCUGUAGCCGGUCCCAAGGGUAUGGCUGUUCGCCAUUUAAAGAGGUACGUGAGCUGGGUUUAAAACGUCGUGAGACAGUUUGGUCCCUAUCUUCCGUGGGCGCUGCAGAUUUGAGGAAGCCUGCUCCUAGUACGAGAGGACCGGAGUGGACGAACCUCUGGUGUAUCGGUUGUCACGCCAGUGGCAUUGCCGAGUAGCUAAGUUCGGAAGAGAUAACCGCUGAAAGCAUCUAAGCGGGAAACUCGUUUCAAGAUUAGAUCUGCCGGGGCCUUGAGCCCCCUAAAGAGUCGUUCAAGACCAGGACGUUGAUAGGUCAGGUGUGGAAGCGAAG